AUGUGUGGGGCAAUGUUCACAAGGCUACCCACUGAGAUCGGGGACCUACAACAUUUAGAGACCCUGGACCUGAGUUACAACAGAUGGCUCAAAAAGCUGCCUCGUGAGAUUGGGAACCUCCAGAAUUUGAAGCGGCUGCUCUUGCGUGGUGAAUUGGUCGUGAAGAUACCAAGUGAAAUCGGAAGGCUAAAGAAUCUGGAGAUUUUGAAACUAGACGCGACCAUCGGUGCACUAUCCUGGGAAGCUAGUCAGCUUUCGAAAUUGGAAGGAGUGCCCGGGUGCGUCCGCAAAGCCUGGAACAAGAGUGAUCUUGUGUCUGAGUUAGCCGGGGAGAUCCUGUCAGUUCAAAUGGCGCGUUGGGUUGGCGAUCGCGGGGGCCUAAUCGUUGGCACGAAGCACAUGCACAUUCCACGGUGGAUCAAAGAUCACUUCAACGACCUUGCCACCUUGAAUAUCAGGAUCUACAAACUAGAGGAGGAGCAGGAUCUCAAGAUUCUGCGGGAGAUGUCCAACCUGGACAAACUUACGCCUAUAGCCAUCAGCGGUGAAGGAUUCCGGAGGCUCAAGCAACUCGUUAUUGACAGCCGGUGCAUGCCACAAUUUACCUUCCAGGAAGGAGCAAAGAAGCCCAGGAGCAUCCCAAUCAGAUGA
rnacentral:rRNA from 1 species